rnacentral:rRNA from 1 species
GAUGAACGCUGGCGGCGUGCCUAAUACAUGCAAGUCGAGCGAACAGACGAGGAGCUUGCUCCUCUGACGUUAGCGGCGGACGGGUGAGUAACACGUGGAUAACCUACCUAUAAGACUGGGAUAACUUCGGGAAACCGGAUCUAAUACCGGAUAAUAUAUUGAACCGCAUGGAUCAAUAGUGAAAGACGGUUUUGCUGUCACUUAGAGAUGGUUCCGGGCCGCAUUAGCUAGUUGGUAAGGUAACGGCUUACCAAGGCAACGAUGCGUAGCCGACCUGAGAGGAUGAUCGGCCACACUGGAACUGAGACACGGUCCAGACUCCUACGGGAGGCAGCAGUAGGGAAUAUUCCGCAAUGGGCGAAAGCCUGACGCAGCAACGCCGCGUGAGUGAUGAAGGUCUUCGGAUCGUAAAGCUCUGUUAUUAGGGAAGAACAAAUGUGUAAGUAACUAUGCACGUCUUGACGGUACCUAAUCAGAAAGCCACGGCUAACUACGUG